GACCCUUCGGGAGGCUUGCACAGGUGCUGCAUGGCUGUCGUCAGCUCGUGUCGUGAGAUGUUCGGUUAAGUCCGCUAACGAGCGCAACCCUCGCUGUGUGUUAUAUGUGUCACACGGGACUGCCGGUCUUAAGCCGGAGGAAGGUGGGGAUGAUGUCAAGUCAGCAUGGCCUUUAUAUCCUGGGCUACACACACGCUACAAUGGCCAACACAAUAGGUUGCUAAGCCGCGAGGUGGCGCCAAUCCAUAAAGUUGGUCUCAGUUCAGAUUGUAGGCUGCAACCCGCCUGCAUGAAGAUGGAGUUGCUAGUAACCGCAGGUCAGCUAUACUGCGGUGAAUACGUUCCCGGGGCUU
rnacentral:rRNA from 1 species